AGGAAGCGUAGUUCUCCCAAGAAACUGAGUUCCAGCUACAGACAGCGUCACUUUUCUUCCUCAGUGGAGCAGUAAUUUGUGGCACUUUUGCUGUCCAGGGGACAACAGUUAGGUAAUGUAAGCCAAGAAGAUCUGAACAUGAGUU